AGUGAACGCUGGCGGUAGGCCUAACACAUGCAAGUCGAACGGCAGCACAGUAAGAGCUUGCUCUUACGGGUGGCGAGUGGCGGACGGGUGAGGAAUACAUCGGAAUCUACUUUUUCGUGGGGGAUAACGUAGGGAAACUUACCCUAAUACCUCAUACGACCUACGGGUGAAAGCAGGGGAUCUUCGGACCUUGCGCGAUUGAAUGAGCCGAUGUCGGAUUAGCUAGUUGGCGGGGUAAAGGCCCACCAAGGCGACGAUCCGUAGCUGGUCUGAGAGGAUGAUCAGCCACACUGGAACUGAGACACGGUCCAGACUCCUACGGGAGGCAGCAGUGGGGAAUUUUGGACAAUGGGCGCAAGCCUGAUCCAGCCAUACCGCGUGGGUGAAGAAGGCCUUCGGGUUGUAAAGCCCUUUUGUUGGGAAAGAAAAGCAGCAGGUUAAUACCCCGCUGUUCUGACGGUACCCAAAGAAUAAGCACCGGCUAACUUCGUG
rnacentral:rRNA from 1 species